GGGUAGAAAAAUCCUUCACCUUGUCUGUUUUCUUUUUUUCUUUUCCUUUUUUUUUGAGAAGCACAAUGGCUUGGAUUAUUAUAAAAGUACUUUUACAUCCAGCCCCUUGCAAAAGGACCUCUGAAAGAAAUUAAAAUUACAUUGAAGUCCUUUGGAGGUCCUCCUGUUUUCUGGAAAUUGGGAAUUUGCACUGCUCUUACUUGGGUCAAGCCUGAGCUGUUCAGACCAACACCUCUAGUACCAGCAUACCACAGGCCACAUAAGGUAGUAACCAUGUGAAUGCGAACCUGCAGUACCAGCAUACCGAGGAUAGUAAAAUCGCAGUGUACUCUUUGUCCCAUCUGAACCUGUAAUAUGGCACACUGCCUACAGUGUGCCCUCGAGGUAGGUACUAGGCUACUAGCAGCGCGUAUUAGUAGACGUAGUUCUUGACGAACAUUCCCUCCUUGGCCUCGGCGGCCUCGCCGUCGGAGGUGUACUUGCCGAGCUGCGCCAGGGAGUUGGCCUUGGCGCGGAGCAGCAGAGCAUCCUGAGCCGCCUUCACGUUCUCUGGCCGGCCGCCCCAUGUCUUGAGGCAGGUGUUCUGAAGAGCCCUGGCGUAGGAGAAGGACACAUGCCACGGGUUGGGGCUCUGGUUCAUGGCGUUCAGGUUCUGGGUCGCCUCAACCUCAGACUGCCCACCGGACAGGAACUGCAUUUUUGUUUGGGUGCAACAGGAAAACAAUUUCAGUCGUCAGAACACCAUCUGAAUUUCUUGGCAAGUAUAUGCAUAUGCAGCAAGAGGAAAAAAUGUUACAGACCAUGAUGCCAGGGACGGCAGGAGGGAUCCUUCUGCGGAGGAGCUUGAGGGUGUAGUCGGCAACUUGCUGAGGGGUGGCCCUGUCCUUGCACUCAGCACCAGGGGUGACCAUGCUGGGCUUGAGGAGGAUGCCCUCGAAUAUCACAUUGUUCUCAGCCAGGUAGUAGAAGGUCUCGGCCCACACCUUCUGUGCAACCUCGAAGGUCCUCUCGAUGCCGUGCUCACCGUCAAGAAGGAUUUCAGGCUCCACAAUUGGCACCAGGCCGUUGUCCUAGCGUAUCCACAGAUAGUAUAUGUUUAUAUACAUGCAUGUCGAAAGGAAACCAAUGGUCCUUUUUCAACUGGUGAGCGUUUCUGGCUGUUGAAAAUGGUAGGAUACCUGAGAAAUCGCGGCAUAGCGGGCAAGGCCCCAGGCAGCUUCCUUCACGGCAAGUUCAGAUGGACCAUUGGGGAUGCUGAUAACAGUGCGCCUGUGACAGAACUUCAUGUCAUAAACGGGACCUAUAUGUCACAUAACAGAAAGUAACUGCUAAUCCAGGGGCACAUUUAUCACCACUUGGCGAAGCGGGCACCAGCCUGGUAGUAGGCUGCUUCGCGUGAAGCGAGGCCAUCAAGACCUUGGCACCAUGACUCGUUGUUGGAACCAGCAAGUGGCACAAGACCCUGAGAUUGAGCAUAAGUUUAGAGUAAUGCAAUUGUCUUCUGUCUUGAAAUAGAUUAUCACGAAACCUAGCUUCCUAAGGCUCUUAUCAGAGUUGAAUUCACAAAAUGUCAUGUGGUAGUUUGGAGCCCUCCACAUACCUUGUCGACCUUGAUACCGGGCACGAUAUUCUGCUCAACAAGGACGUCAGUAAUCUUCUUGCCAUCAACAGUUGACUGGUAGAGGGUCUCCUCGAAGAGGAUAGCACCAGAGAUGUACUGUCCCAGUCCCGGAGCACUGACAAGGAGGGUCCUGUAAGCCUGGCGGUUGGCCUCAGUGUUCUCUAGGCCAAUGGAGUCAAGCCUCUUGCCGCAGGUAGCGUUUGACUCAUCCAUGGCAAGGAUACCCCUUCCUGGAGAUGCGAUGGUUUU
rnacentral:lncRNA from 1 species